rnacentral:tRNA from 1 species
AAGGCUUUAAGUUAAUUAAACUAACAGCCUUCAAAGCUGUAAAUAAAAAGGAUUUUUUAAGCCUUA